UACGUGGGUCCCGAGCGUUGUCCGGAUUUAUUGGGCGUAAAGCGAACGCAGGUGGUUUAUUAAGUCUGGUGUAAAAGGCAGUGGCUCAACCAUUGUAUGCAUUGGAAACUGGUAGACUUGAGUGCAGGAGAGGAGAGUGGAAUUCCAUGUGUAGCGGUGAAAUGCGUAGAUAUAUGGAGGAACACCGGUGGCGAAAGCGGCUCUCUGGCCUGUAACUGACACUGAGGCUCGAAAGCGUGGGGAGCAAACAGG
rnacentral:rRNA from 1 species